rnacentral:rRNA from 1 species
UGGUCCAGUUAUUCUGGGUGCAGGGCUGAUGCCUUGGCACUAGGAGCCGAUGACGGACGUGAUACGCUGAGAUACGCUUCUGGGAGUUGCACGUAAAAUUUGAUCAGAAGCUUUCCGACUUAGGAAACACCAU